CACCAUCUGGUCUACAAACGUAUCUAGCCAAGUGAAAAAUCCAGUGGCAAAACUCUUAGAUAAUGGAAACCUCGUUAUUACGGAUAACUCCAGCAGUCAUACUACUGAAAGCUACUUGUGGCAGAGCUUCGACUACUUAACAGACACUCUGUUACCAGACAUGAAGUUGGGCUGGGACUUGAAGACUGGUCUGAAACGAUAUUUAUCAUCAUGGGAAAGUGCUGACGAUCCAUCCCCUGGGAAGUUUACCUUCGGACUUGACAUUCAGGUGUCGCCUAAAUUAUGUACGUUCAAUGGUUCUGCAAAAUAUUCCUGUACCGGACAAUGGAAUGGAGCUGCCUUUGUAGCUGCUCCAUAUUCAAACUUUCUUUAUGAUCAAGUUUUGGUGGAAAAUAAAGAUGAAAUUUCUUUCAGGUAUGAGUCCUAUAACAGUCCAAACAUAAUGAUCUUAACAGUCAACCCCUCGGGUCUGCUCACGCGUCUAAUAUGGAACGAGAGGAGCACUGCGUGGGACCUUGUUUUCUCAGUUCCAGAUGGAUAUUGUGGUAAUUAUGGGCAUUGUGGUCCCAACAGUAUUUGCAGCCUGGACCAGACACCUAUCUGUCAGUGUUUGAGGGGAUUCAAACUCAAAUCACAAAACAACCAGACUUGGCCCAGAAAAUGUGAAAGAUCUUCAGAUUGCAAAAGUGGAGACCAGUUUAUAAAGCUUGAUGACUUUAAAGCGCCUGAUUUGCUAGAGGUUUCCACAUUCAAAAGUAUUAAGCCAAUCAACAAACUCUUCUGGUUGCAUUCUUUCUUCAAAUUCAGGAAUUUCGACCUUGAAGUCGAAAGGCUGAUAAGAAUCGCGACGCCUAUGAAUUCGAGAACGAGAAGAAAAUUCACUAUUGGAGCUUUGUUCCUGAUGGAAGGGAUUAUAAUCUACCCCGUCAUUGAUUGAGCCUUCUUCUUCCGAACUACCAUUAGGAGCAGCUUCUCGAGUUCCUUCAAGGUGUUGUAAUCGUUGCUGAAGAUGUUCUACUUGUCUUCUAAGAUCAUCCCUUUCUAUAUCACCCAAGUCCCUCUCACGAACAGGAGGCUCUGCAACUCUUGCAUUACGCCGACGUCGUUGAGCCAUAAAUUUUCAGAACCCAAUGCUCUGAUACCAAAUUUGACACCGGACACAAUAGAUGAGAAAGCACAACGUCAUACACUCAAGAAAUCACAAGCUCACCACCACAGCAAACAACAAAAAGAUACAGAAAAAUAUUCACCACCUAAAGUUGUUAAGCUACGCAUACAGAGCUUAAAACACUCACCACUCAAUGGAAUCCACCAAAGAGAUACAGAGUUUGAUAAUAGCUCAAAGUUCAUUCAAUUUCCAAAAUUAAUCUCUUCCCUUUUGUUACAACUACAUAAGCUUAAAUAACUUUCUUGGAAUAAUCCUCCAAGCAUAGAUUUACUACAAAGAAACCCUUCAAAUAACUUGACUUUAAAGACCAACAUUAAAGCUAGACAUUAAUAAAACAUUGGUAUGCUUAAAACACAACAAAGAAACCCUUCAAAUAACUUGACUUUAAAGACCAACAUUAAAGCUAGACAUUAAUAAAACAUUAGUAUGCUUAAAAUACAACAAAGAACAUUAAAAAAAAUCUAAGUCCCGAAAUAUUCUUCUUGACUCAAAACUGAACAGUCUGCACUUAACUGAUCAUAACUUACUGUAAAAAACUCCAAAUUUAGAUUAGUAAAAUUCAUUGGAAAGCUAACAGAAAUAUCUUUCCAAUGAUGUAUGGCUCGAAAAUUAAUUCGAUCUCAUGCAGUACAGUUUAAUUCCCAAAGAUGCUUGGUAUAACUAUAUUUCAAACACUCCUGUGUUAUGCUUCCUCAUGGAAGGAAUUGGGCUGGCAUAAACGGCCGUGAUUGAAGAAAUAAUUCCACCAUUGUCAGAAACCCGAAAGUGAAUAAACUGACGAUGGUUCACUGUAACCUCCACAGCAAACUCCUCUUUCCAAAGAAGCCAGAUUCCUCCCGAAAAACCCACAGCUUCCACUCUGUGAGAUCUUGCAAAGCCACUACUCCUGAUAAAAUUAUCAGCCCUGAUUCUACUUACUCUGGGCUCCAAAAUUGCAACCAUAGUGGGAUUAUAAUUCUUAACAAAGCCCUUGAAAGUUCAACGAAAUCCCUUUGAUGAAACUCCCUGACAAUUCCAAAACAUAAUAGAGAACAACAUUAAAAAUAAUGAAAAAAUAUGGAGAAAAAUCCCUUACACCUCAGGCACAAAGUCCUGGUGUUCUAAAGCCAGCUGAGGUUCAUCUUCUAAGGAUCCCGCAAACUCCGAAUCCUCUGAUUCCUCAUCUCCGCUAUCUCCUACGUAGUCACUAUCUUCUGGAUCAUCCGUCAAAUUAUCCAUAUCCCAUGCUUUCAUGUCCGCAGGAUCCCCCAUAGGUUGACCAUCAAGCUUCUCAUAUAUUCCACCUUGACCAAGGAAUAAAGGGUUGGGAGUAGUUGCAAAAACAUUUUGAGUACUGCUGCUAGGUAUCUGCUCCAGGGUCACAACAGAAUGCUUUGUAGGGUCAAGGGUUGUGGAGGCAUUGGUUUUGUUAAAAGGUUUGGGCAUGGCUACUUUAUAUUCACGUAGGGGGCGGUAAGUGUGCAUGGAGUUUGACGUGGAAGGUUCUGUUAUAAAAGAUUUGGAUAGUUUGGGCUUCAUGCUUUUUCCAACACGUGAUGAAGGCUUAAGAAAUAGUGCAACUGUGGUAGUUCUAUUGGUGGGACGUGGAUGCUUUUUAUUUGGUAAUUUACUAAUUACUUUGGCAUGUUGUUAAAUUUUGCUAGCUGGCCCCUUUAUUGGUAAAUCAAGCACAUGGGUUUCCUCAGUUGACUUUGUGCCCCUUUCCAUCAUAUCCUCGUUUGCGAACCUCCAUCAAACCUCCCAUUUUGGUUUUGACUUGACUCCUUAAUGAUUUCUCUUUCCUUAUAGCUCUUAACUUUUCCUUUUCGAGAUACCAUCAUCCACGGUCCAAACUUAGGGUUACCUGAUCUAUCUGUCUUGGGUGGUGGAGCCGCCCUAGGGCUGAUCGUAGACUCAGCUUGCACAUUCACAACCCCAUGACUAUCUUCCUCGUUGUUUGUUCUUUCCGGGCAUGUAAUACUUAAGUGACCAUAUUUACCACAUUCAUAACAAAUCAGGGGGAGAUUUUCAUAUUCAACCUUCUGAAAUUUGCCAUCAAGCAAAAACUGGGAACAAAGAGGUUUAGCCAAAUCCAACUCCACCGCUAUGCGAGCAAAUUUGCCUCUGCACGCAGACUCGGUGUUGUAAUCAAUUUUUAUAACCUUCCCAAUUACUUGCCCGAGCAUUCGAAGAAUUCUCUUGUGGUAGUAAUGGAGAGGCAUUCCUGGAAGACGGAUCCAUGCAACAACUGAAUCAAUGGUUUCCGUAGAGCAAUCAAACCUAGGAGACCAUUGUUGAACAGUCAAGUAGUGCCCCAAUAUAGACCAAGGUCCUUGUGUGAGAGCAUAUUGGGCAUCAUCCUCCGUUUUAAACUUAACCAAGAAAAAAUCAUUCCCAAGGUCAAUCACUGUAAAACCCUGGGAUCCGCUCCAUAAGGACUCCAAACGGUUGCACAAGACCUUGUAGCCAAUCGUUCUUCCGAGAAGCUUGAUAACCACAGCUGUCCUCCACGGUUUCACGAGCUGUGCAUGAACUUUCUGUGAGAAUGAGAUCGAAGGCAGAUGUCCUUCCGUUUCUAUCACUACAUCCUCCAAGUCAAACACCAGAUCAUCCUCCUUCCCCAUGAGAUCCUCCUCCAUAGUGUCAUGUGUUUCCAUCAACUUGUCUUUGAAGGAUACCAUUGGAGGAUUAUCCUCAUCGUCUCCUUCAACCCUAAACUUUGCCUUUUUGGUAGACCGGUCAUCCUCCAAAGGAGGAGGGUCCUUUUUCGCCAGUUCGGAAACGCUCUCCAUUUUAAACACAAACGUAUUUUUCCACCCAUACUUAGCGUUUUGGAAAGUUUACAAGACUUCAAAAGUUAACAUCAUGAGAAUUGAGGUCAAGAAACAGACUUCUCUGUUUCACAGUUGACCGAGACUUUUGGUUUUCAUAAAUUGAAAUGAACCCGAUCUCAAAACAAUUAUUAGAGAUUUUUCUUCUCUGUUUAAUGAAUGGAGAAUCGUCCAUGCUUCAACAUCUUUCGUUCUUUGAUCUUCUUGUUGGGCAUAAAGGUUUCAUUAGCAGCUGACACACUAACCCCAGCAUCAUUCAUCCGUGACGGCGAGAAAUUAGUUUCAUCUUCUCAAAGGUUUGAGCUAGGCUUUUUCUCCCCUGGCAAAUCAAAGAACAGGUACGUGGGACUAUGGUACCAGAAGAUCCCUGAUACGGUUUUCUGGGUUGCCAAUAGAAAUAGUCCUAUCUCCGAUCAUAACGCAGUAUUAACCAUUGGCAACAAUGGAAAUCUCGUUCUUCUCAACCAAACAAACGGCACUAUCUGGUCUACAAACGUAUCUAGACAAGUGAAAAAUCCAGUGGCAAGACUCUUAGAUAAUGGAAACCUCGUUAUUACGGAUAACUCCAGCAGUCAUACUACUGAAAGCUACUUGUGGCAGAGCUUCGACUACUUAACAGACACUCUGUUACCAGACAUGAAGUUGGGCUGGGACUUGAAGACUGGUCUGAAACGAUAUUUAUCAUCAUGGGAAAG
rnacentral:lncRNA from 1 species